rnacentral:tRNA from 1 species
GGGCCUGUAGCUCAGUUGGGAGAGCGCGUGAAUCGCACUCACGAGGUCAGGGGUUCGACUCCCCUCAGGUCCACCA